rnacentral:rRNA from 1 species
CCAAUUGAAAGCCUAGCUUUCAUGAGGUUAGCGGCGGACGGGUGAGUAACACGUGGGUAACCUGCCCUAUAGACUGGGAUAACUCGCGGAAACGCGUGCUAAUACCGGAUAACACAUCAAAGUGCAUGCUUUGAUGUUGAAAGAUGGUUCUGCUAUCACUAUAGGAUGGGCCCGCGGCGCAUUAGCUUGUUGGUGGGGUAACGGCCUACCAAGGCGACGAUGCGUAGCCGACCUGAGAGGGUGAUCGGCCACACUGGGACUGAGACACGGCCCAGACUCCUACGGGAGGCAGCAGUAGGGAAUCUUCCACAAUGGGCGAAAGCCUGAUGGAGCAACGCCGCGUGAGCGAAGAAGGUCUUCGGAUCGUAAAGCUCUGUUGUAAGGGAAGAACAAGUGCAGUAGUAACUGGCUGCACCUUGACGGUACCUUACUAGAAAGCCACGGCUAACUACGUGCCAGCAGCCGCGGUAAUACGUAGGUGGCAAGCGUUGUCCGGAAUUAUUGGGCGUAAAGCGCGCGCAGGCGGUNUCUUAAGUCUGAUGUGAAAGCCCCCGGC